rnacentral:rRNA from 1 species
UGGGGAAUUUUGGACAAUGGGCGAAAGCCUGAUCCAGCCAUGCCGCGUGCAGGAUGAAGGCCUUCGGGUUGUAAACUGCUUUUGUACGGAACGAAAAGCCUCUUUCUAAUAAAGAGAGGUCAUGACGGUACCGUAAGAAUAAGCACCGGCUAACUACGUGCCAGCAGCCGCGGUAAUACGUAGGGUGCAAGCGUUAAUCGGAAUUACUGGGCGUAAAGCGUGCGCAGGCGGUUUUGUAAGACAGAGGUGAAAUCCCCGGGCUCAACCUGGGAACUGCCUUUGUGACUGCAAGGCUGGAGUGCGGCAGAGGGGGGAUGGAAUUCCGCGUGUAGCAGCGAAAUGCGUAGAUAUGCGGAGGAACACCGAUGGCGAAAGGCAAUCCCCUGGGGCUCACUGACGCUCAUGCACGAAAGCGUGGGGAGCAAACAGGAUUAGAUACCCUGGUAGUCCACGCCCUAAACGAUGUCAACUGGUUGUUGGGGUCUUCACUGACUCAGUAACGAAGCUAACGCGUGAAGUUGACCGCCUGGGGAGUACGGCCGCAAGGUUGAAACUCAAAUGAAUUGACGGGG